GUGGGGAAUAUUGGACAAUGGGCGAAAGCCUGAUCCAGCCAUGCCGCGUGUGUGAAGAAGGUCUUCGGAUUGUAAAGCACUUUAAGUUGGGAGGAAGGGCAGUAAGUUAAUACCUUGCUGUUUUGACGUUACCGACAGAAUAAGCACCGGCUAACUUCGUGCCAGCAGCCGCGGUAAUACGAAGGGGGCGAGCGUUAUUCGGAAUCACUGGGCGUAAAGCGUGCGUAGGCGGUUUUGUAAGUUAGGAGUGAAAGCCCAGGGCUCAACCUUGGAAUUGCUCUUAAAACUGCAAGGCUCGAAUCUCGGAGAGGAUAGCGGAAUUUCCAGUGUAGCAGUGAAAUGCGUAGAUAUUGGAAGGAACACCAGUGGCGUAAGCGGCUAUCUGGACGAGUAUUGACGCUGAGGCACGAAAGCGUGGGGAUCAAACAGGAUUAGAUACCCCGGUAGUCC
rnacentral:rRNA from 1 species